GACGAACGCUGGCGGCGUGCCUAAUACAUGCAAGUAGAACGCACAGUUUAUACCGUAGCUUGCUACACCAUAGACUGUGAGUUGCGAACGGGUGAGUAACGCGUAGGUAACCUGCCUGGUAGCGGGGGAUAACUAUUGGAAACGAUAGCUAAUACCGCAUAAUAUUAAUUAUUGCAUGAUAAUUAAUUGAAAGGUGCAAUUGCACCACUACCAGAUGGACCUGCGUUGUAUUAGCUAGUAGGUGAGGUAACGGCUCACCUAGGCGACGAUACAUAGCCGACCUGAGAGGGUGAUCGGCCACACUGGGACUGAGACACGGCCCAGACUCCUACGGGAGGCAGCAGUAGGGAAUCUUCGGCAAUGGACGAAAGUCUGACCGAGCAACGCCGCGGGAGUGAAGAAGGUUUUCGGAUCGUAAAGCUCUGUUGUAAGAGAAGAACGGGGGUGAGAGUGGAAAGUUCACACUGUGACGGUAUCUUACCAGAAAGGGACGGCUAACUACGUG
rnacentral:rRNA from 1 species